rnacentral:rRNA from 1 species
GAUGAACGCUGGCGGCGUGCUUAACACAUGCAAGUCGAACGAAGCACUUUAUUUGAUUUCCUUCGGGACUGAUUAUUUUGUGACUGAGUGGCGUACGGGUGAGUAACGCGUGGUUAACCUGCCUUGUACAGGGGGAUAACAGUUGGAAACGGCUGCUAAUACCGCAUAAGCGCACAGCAUCGCAUGAUGCAGUGUGAAAAACUCCGGUGGCAUAAGAUGGACCCGCGUUGGAUUAGCUAGUUGGUGGGGUAACGGCCCACCAAGGCGACGAUGCAUAGCGGAGCUGAGAGGGUGACCGGCCACAUUGGGACUGAGACACGGACCAAACUCCUACGGGAGGCAGCAGUAGGGAAUAUUGCACAAUGGGCGAAAGCCUGAUGCAGCGACGCCGCGUGAGCGAAGAAGUAUUUCGGUAUGUAAAGCUCUAUCAGCAGGGAAGAUAAUGACGGUACCUGACUAAGAAGCACCGGCUAAAUACGUG